rnacentral:rRNA from 1 species
UGGGGAAUAUUGGACAAUGGGCGCAAGCCUGAUCCAGCCAUGCCGCGUGAGUGAUGAAGGCCUUAGGGUUGUAAAGCUCUUUUAGCGGGGAAGAUAAUGACGGUACCCGCAGAAAAAGCCCCGGCUAACUUCGUGCCAGCAGCCGCGGUAAUACGAAGGGGGCUAGCGUUGCUCGGAAUUACUGGGCGUAAAGCGCACGUAGGCGGACUCUUAAGUCGGUGGUGAAAUCCUGGAGCUCAACUCCAGAACUGCCUUCGAUACUGGGAGUCUUGAGUUCGGGAGAGGUGAGUGGAACUGCGAGUGUAGAGGUGAAAUCCGUAGAUAUUCGCAAGAACACCAGUGGCGAAGGCGGCUCACUGGCCCGAUACUGACGCUGAGGUGCGAAAGCGUGGGGAGCAAACA